rnacentral:lncRNA from 1 species
GAUCCGCUCACUAAGGGAUUGCCAUCCAAAGUAUUUCAUGAGCAUAUUGCUUGCAUGGGUGUCAAAUCGGUUAAGGAUUAUGAAUUGUAGUGGGAGUUUGUAUUAUACAAUUAUGUAUUGUCCAUUACAUUCAGCAAUUCAGUUUUAAGGUUAUAUCUGCAGAUAUUCAGUUUUAAAGUUUUUUAUGUACUCUUAAGGUUUAUGAUUGAUCUCAAUAAAGAGAACCAGUUGNNN